GUAUCAUGUACUUGUACCAGUUCAAAGCUCUGGGAAUCACGCAUCGGAAAGUAACAUAAAAGAUUCCCUCCUACCUUGAUAGUACAGUCGGUCUACAUUGGGAAACCAGAAGGAUAAAGCUAGAAGUUUAAAGACUGAAUUAUUUCAUACAGCACAGGUAUCCCAACCUUGUGUGCACAUUCACUCCAUUGUCCCCAGGUCCAAAUCAAGUCCAAAUUGAUUCUUAAAGUUUAAAAGGAUGACCCGGAUCAUCUAGAUUUACUAAAGACCCUUCCCUCUGGAUCCUAAGGGACGGCUUGUUUGGCACCUAUUUACGCCGAUUUAGCAUAUGGAACAUGUACAGCAAACCUUCCUGACUUAUUGUAUUGUUAAAAGCGUACAGGGACUGGCCAUUGAAUUAAAACUACAAAAAMUCUAUAYAACAAGAUCAAGUUUUAAAUAGGAGUGAGUUUGAUAAUGGCAUCUCAAUACUUCACAUCAAAGUUAUUUGAAGGAAAAGACWAUCAUGACAACGAAAAGGCAAAGAAAGGAUUACCACAAGUUCGAUACAUUGUACAAUGUUCCGACGGGAAUUCUACUAUACAAUCUGAACAAACAUUUCGCAUCGAUGGAGUAGAUAAACAAACGUCUCAAAGUCUUAUUUUACAGAAAGAAAACUACACUAGUUUAAAAGACGAAAUGGUAAAAAAGCAAAAACCUUAYAAUACAAAAAACGAGCAGAAAAGGCGUUUUAGUGAUGAGCAAAAUCGAUUACGCAACCAGCAACACAAAGAGGACAAAAUCCAAAAAAACCGUCUCAUUCUGUCUCAGUUUGGUAUCAAAGAAGACGACUUCGAAAGCUGCCUUGGCGAAUGGCUGAUUAUUGACUUGAACUUUGACUUGUAUGAGAAACAACACGCCAAUGACAUUGCUUAUUCGAGGAAAAUACGUCAGAAAAGACGUCUUUUAUGUUCUUGGCUAUGGCCAUUCUAAGAAUACUUACAGUACAGAAUGGUUUUCGUAUAGUGAGUGGUCGAGUGCGCAACAUCCCCGAAACAUUAGCUCAAAAAGUACUAAUUUCGUGCCUAGAGCCCUUUCGGUCAGAAAGAGAACGCARGCUCUGGGUACGAGAUUGAAAAAGUACACCUUAUUGCCCGAUUUCAUACCGUGGGAGACUGGGUACAAGUCUCUUAAUUCGCACGAUGGUGAGAUAAGACUUAUAUACAACAACGAAAGAUCGCACAGUAAAUAAGAAACUCACAAAGUUUGGURUUAAUUGGUUCAAAUGUAGAUGAUUGGCAGCUUUUCAAAAAUUCUAGAUUUUACAAAGAAAUUUAUGGCGCUCAGGGAUCAAUAUUUUCAGCUAAAAAUAGGGCUCACUAGAUCCUAAAUAUACCAUGUUACGAGUCUGUUAUGGGAAUUUAGAAAAAUCCGGACGUAYGUCCGGCAUUCUAUACAUUUCUUCGGAAAUUCUAGUGUUUUUGAAAGGCUGUAAAUCGUUUAAUAUUAACCUGAUUUACGCCAAAUUCAGACAGUUAGUAUUUCUCAAUACGUUCUUUCGUUCUAUAAAGUCUUAUCCACGGUAUGAAAUCGGGCAAUAUGGCCUAUUAUGCAUAAAAUAGCCAGAAUCAUCCCCCAAAAAGCGUUUUUUCAUUGUUUUUAUUUUUAUUUUUAAACUGAGGACACUGGCAGAUUAUUAUUUUAUUAAAUCGAUAAAUUAAUCAAACAUGAGGAUAUUUACCYGCGAAAUACCUCUAUAUGGGUAUCGAUUAGUAUGUAAUAGCCAUAUAUAUUCUUUUAAAAGAGACUUUGUUUCACUUUAGUGAGUUCAAACUUCAAAUAGAUGUUUUAAAAACUAAGCAGAUAAGGGUGUGUUUGUCGUACCAGUUCGGGGAAUUUUUGGAUGCUUUAUAAUUUGGAAUUGACUAACUCAAAGUUUUCAACCCUUAAACACAGAGAAAAAAAUAGGURUUAGGGACGUACAACAAACUUACAGUGACAUAAUGAAUAAAGUGUUCAGUUGGUGCCUGCCUGUGAUUUCAGAACCUCUGAAUGUAAACUAGGKUUGUAUUGGUCUGUGUUCMUUUGUCAAAAACUGCUGUGUGCUAGAACAUUCAAAGUUUGUGCUGGUUUUUGAUCAUUUGUUGCGUACGUCCUUCCUUGUGCGACACUAUUGUCUGUUUACAAAGUCACUUUUAGAAAAAUUUAUGAUUAUAAUCCUCUCACGGAACUCGAACUUCUCGUAGCUAGUUCUUUUACAAGGGGACGAAAAACAGCGAACCUGUGGAAUACUGAACUUUCUCAGAGUAAGGGACAGAAUAUAGCCUGGUUACAUCUGUUUCUCACCCCUCCAAAAAAAAUCGGGGAUAUAACGUUCUCUCCCCUAUUUUUUUGGAGGGGUGAGAAACGGAUGUCCACAGGCUAGACAGAACACAAAAAGAGACCAUCGUUCACCCUUAAACCACCCACGGUGCCAAAUAUCUAACCCGCAUCGAUGGAGGUCUUUUUGAUACUCGASUCGUAAAUUUAUGAACGCACCGCGUCAUCGCUGUCCGCCUCAAAAACAAACUGCUAAUCCCAGAAGCACUUGUAUUAUAUAAAUACUACGUCAUUUCAGGGACUUAGCUUUGGAUUAAAACUACUUACACAAUAA